rnacentral:lncRNA from 1 species
GUUUAUCCUCGCAAUGGUCUUGUAAAGCAACAAAGUACCAUUAUUCUCAUUUUACAGAUGGGGAAGUUAGGAAGAGAAAGAUGAAGUAACUUCUGUCCACUGUCAAAGAAGAAGUAUAUUUUGAGGCAGAAAAUUGAGUUUCAUCUUCUCUUGACACCAGGAUCUUACCUGCUCUACUGCCCAGCCAAAUAGGACUUCUCCCAUCCCAGGCCCUUCAGAGAGGCAGCACACAGCAUUCCAGGAGCCAAGAGACGUCAAGCAUCACCAAGCUACACGAGGAUUUUGUGGGCACGUCACACUCUGGGAGCUAAGCCAGAGGGAACAGAAGGCACCAAACUGCUCUGAAAAGUGACUUAUUGUCCAACUGAUGAAGAACAUUUAUUCAAGAUUUUCACAUUAAACAACAUGGCAAAGCCUCAAGAAAUUCCUCAGCCAAGCCCAGCAUCACUG